rnacentral:rRNA from 1 species
CCUACGGGAGGCUGCAGUCGAGGAUCUUCGGCAAUGGGGGCAACCCUGACCGAGCGAGUCCGCGUGUGCGACGAAGGCCUUCGGGUUGUAAAGCACUGUCGAGGGGGAGAAAAGCCCGAAAGGGUGUGAUCUAUCCCUGGAGGAAGCACGGGCUAAGUUCGUGCCAGCAGCCGCGGUAAGACGAACCGUGCGAACGUUGUUCGGAAUCACUGGGCUUAAAGGGCGCGUAGGCGGGCUAUCAAGUCCGGGGUGAAAUCCUCCCGCUCAACGGGAGA